AAAAGACUUUCCACACAAGUGACAGUUUUACGCUUUAAAUCCACUGUGGAAGAGUUGGUGUCUUUUUAGGCCUUGAGCCUGGGUAAAAGACUUUCCACACAAGUCACAGCUGUAAGGUUUAAAUCCACUGUGGAUGAGUUGGUGUUUUUUUAAGUGUCCAGCCUGGUUAAAACACUUUCCACACAAGUCACAGCUGUAAGGUUUAAAUCCGCUGUGGAUGAGUUGGUGUGUUUUUAAGCUUCCAGCCUGGUUAAAACACUUUCCACACAAGUCACAGCUGUAAGGUUUAACUCCACUGUGGAUGAGUUGGUGUUUUUUUAAGCUUCCAGCCUGGGUAAAAGACUUUCCACACAAGUGACAGUUGUACGCUUUAACUCCACUGUGGAUGAGUUGGUGUGUUUUUAAGCUUCCAGCCUGGGUAAAAGACUUUCCACACAAGUCACAGCUGUAAGGUUUAAAUCCACUGUGGACGAGUUGGUGGUUUUUUAAGUGUCCAGCCUCGGUAAAAGACUUUCCACACAAGUCACAGCUGUAAGGUUUAACUCCACUGUGGAUGAGUUGGUGUGUUUUUAAGCUUCCAGCCUGGUUAAAAGACUUUCCACGCAAGUCACAGCUGUAAGGUUUAACUCCACUGUGGAUGAGUUGGUGUGUUUUUAAGUGUCCAGUCCGGGUAAAAUCCUUCCCGCACUCAUCACAGCUGUAAGGUUUAACUCCACUGUGGAUGAGUUGGUGUGUUUUUAAGUGUCCAGUCCGGGUAAAAUCCUUCCCACACUCAUCACAGCUGUAAGGUUUAACUCCACUGUGGACGAGUUGGUGUCUUUUUAAACCUCCAGCCUCGGUAAAGGACUUUCCACACAAGUCACAGCUGUAAGGUUUAACUCCACUGUGGACGAGUUGGUGUGUUUUUAAACGUCCAGUCCGGGUAAAAUCCUUCCCACAUUCAUCACAGCUGUAGGUUUUCUCUCCCUUUCUUCUGUGAGGUUUGUCGGCCUCCUGAGAGCGCUGACUUCUCGCUCCAUGUUGGUCCUGCAGUGAGAG
ensembl:lncRNA